AUUACACGCUGUUAUUUCAAUAUGCUAUGUCAUGAUUGGCAUGAUACACAGUGGAAACACAUGGAAGUACAAUAUAGUUCUUCAAGAAAAUGAAGAUAGAAUCUAAAUACACAGGACAAGAUGUUAAGAAGUCCCUUGUCCAAAGAGGCGUUGAGCAUUUCCAUGGCAUUCGUUUAGAUGUUGAGCCAGUGGUAUGAUGGUAGACGACGCGACAAAUCUUCUGCAUCCCACUUUAGCUGAAUAGACUUUUGUGUUCCAGCUACAUUAUGUUGCUUCUACUGCAAGGAAUUCUCCUGUGGAACUGUGAGCUCUUUGAUGUACACAAUCUUCAGUGAAGUGGACCAGAACACCAACGCUGGCCUGAGGUUGGUGGAGGCAAUCUCAGGUGGAAAAAUUAGUUUUUGGCCGAUGUCAGCCAGCAUCCUCCAGUCACAGGUCAUGCAUUGGUGUCCUUCAUCUGAUCUGGUGGAAUGAUGUUUAGGUGUUUUCUGUCCUUCCCGGACAGAGGUUGCUCGUCGGGGGUGGUUAGGCGUUUGCUCUACACUUACACUCAUUAUUAAGAUGAUGUAACAUUUUGGAGUAAAAAUACAAAUGAGCAGUCCAAAACUUGAAGCCAGAAUAGCAAAUAUCUCCACAGCAACACUGAACUUCCCAGGAGAGCUGACAUAUGCUGGGAUAAAAGUGAUCCAUACUGCACAGAAUAUCAGCAUGCUAAAGAACACAAGAGAUACAGAGGACAAAGGUGAUGCCGAAUGCUGUGUGUCGCAGCAUGC